CCUACGGGUGGCAGCAGUAAGGAAUAUUGGUCAAUGGACGAAAGUCUGAACCAGCCAUCCCGCGUGCAGGAUGAAAGCCCUCUGGGUUGUAAACUGCUUUUAGCAGAGAAGAAAAGCUUUCAUUAAUGAGAGUCUGACGGUAUCUGCAGAAUAAGCACCGGCUAACUCCGUGCCAGCAGCCGCGGUAAUACGGAGGGUGCGAGCGUUAUCCGGAAUUACUGGGUCGUAGGGGUGCGUUUGAGUAGGUGGUGAAAUCUUGUCGCUUAACGAUAGAAUUGCCAAUGAUACUGGUACUCUUGAAUUGGGUUGAGGUUAGCGGAAUGUGCCAUGUAGCGGUGAAAUGCAUAGAUAUGUCAUGGAACACCAAUUGCGAAGGCAGCUAACUGGGCCUUGAUUGACGCUGAGGCACGAAAGCGUGGGUAGCGAACAGGAUUAGAUACCCCUGUAGUC
rnacentral:rRNA from 1 species